AUAAAUAAGAGUGCAGAGAAGAGGGCAAUAGCCAUUUUAAACACAAAGCAAUAUUUCCAAGAUGAAGGCCUUUCUUAUCAUAUGCAUUCUGUUGGCCGCCGUUGCCUUCUCUUCCUUUUCCACUACCACUGCUCUAGAAUUAUCCCAUGAAGGUCCAUACAGGACACUCGACGCUUCCACGCAACAACGUGGCCCGAUGAAGCCGCCACGUGGCCCGAUGAAGCCGCCACGUGGCCCGGUCAAGCCACCACCUGGCCCGAUGAAGCCACCACGUGGCCCGGUCAAGCCACCACGUGGCCCGGUCAAGCCACCACCUGGAAAGAAGCCACCUCCCGGGUCACAGUAAUGCUUACAAGUGGAAUAGUGAAAUCCCUUGAGAAUGGAACACUACGGAUUAGAAGCCAGUAAAGUGUCGACCGACAGCUAGUAGUAUCUUUAUGAUCAUGGAUGGUAAUAUGAUAGGAGAACAUUUCAUGUAAGAAAAAUAAACUAUGAAGUUCUCAUAACAUGUCAACAACCAUAUAUUGGUCUGAUAACGAGGUUUUAAUUCCUGUCGGGUUUUAAAUUGUAUUAUCGUAAUGAAGUUGAUGCAAAAUAAAUAAAGUGUUUAAUUAGCUAGACUAUAUACUCUAGCUAUCUUCUGUUGUUCA